AAAGAGGUUUACGCACUUCUCAGAGGAGGUGAGAAAGAAAGUGGUCACUCCAGUUACCAGGCUCAUGAGCGAGUGAGGGAGCUCGCUGUGCCCUUCUCAGGAGAGAGACUGCAGAAGGCCUAUUGUGGAGAAAAUGGAGGAGGACUGGUGGAGUAACCACCCUGCCCUCUUAGUGGGGUGAGCUUUCUCUCUUCAGAUUUCGAUUACAGAUCUUAGGAGCUGUGCUGAGACACCCCCAC